rnacentral:rRNA from 1 species
GACGAACGCUGGCGGCGUGCUUAACACAUGCAAGUCGAACGGAAAGGCCCUGCUUUUGUGGGGUGCUCGAGUGGCGAACGGGUGAGUAACACGUGAGUAACCUGCCCUUGACUUUGGGAUAACUUCAGGAAACUGGGGCUAAUACCGGAUAGGAGCUCCUGCUGCAUGGUGGGGGUUGGAAAGUUUCGGCGGUUGGGGAUGGACUCGCGGCUUAUCAGCUUGUUGGUGGGGUAGUGGCUUACCAAGGCUUUGACGGGUAGCCGGCCUGAGAGGGUGACCGGCGACAUUGGGACUGAGGUAGGGACCAGAAGCCUAUGGGAGGCAGCAGGGGGGAAUAUUGCACAAUGGGCGGAAGCCUGAUGCAGCAACGCCGGGUGCGGGAUGACGGCUUACGGGUUGUAAACCGCUGUCGCCUGUGACGAAGCGUGAGUGACGGUAAUGGGUAAAGAAGCACCGGCUAACUACGUG